CAUAUAAAUAUGGGGUGCUGAGAAAUCGGCUGAGAUUAUACCCAAAUAACCUGAUGCGGAUAAUGCCGCCGUAGGAAACAUAUGACAGUAAGUUU
rnacentral:ncRNA from 2 species